AAUUUGAUCAAACAGUUUGAGCAAACUCAGGAAGUGACGUAACAACUGCAGUUUGUUCAAAUUAUAAAAAUCUAGUCGUCACACUAUCAGUUUGAUCAAAGUUUGUAUUGAGAGUUGUGGUAGUAGGUACAUAUAUCAAAACCCACAAGCAUUCCAACACUUUAGCGAAUAAUAAGCCCCAAACUCUCUAUUGUAGAAGGGAGUUAGUAACAAACCAAAAAGAAAUCAAGUCCUGA
rnacentral:lncRNA from 1 species